rnacentral:rRNA from 1 species
AUUGAACGCUGGCGGCAGGCUUAACACAUGCAAGUCGAGCGGAGAUGAGGUGCUUGCACCUUAUCUUAGCGGCGGACGGGUGAGUAAUGCUUAGGAAUCUGCCUAUUAGUGGGGGACAACAUUCUGAAAGGAAUGCUAAUACCGCAUACGUCCUACGGGAGAAAGCAGGGGAUCUUCGGACCUCGCGCUAAUAGAUGAGCCUAAGUCGGAUUAGCUAGUUGGUGGGGUAAAGGCCUACCAAGGCGACGAUCUGUAGCGGGUCUGAGAGGAUGAUCCGCCACACUGGGACUGAGACACGGCCCAGACUCCUACGGGGGCAGCAGUGGGGAAUAUUGGACAAUGGGGGGAACCCUGAUCCAGCCAUGCCGCGUGUGUGAAGAAGGCCUUAUGGUUGUAAAGCACUUUAAGCGAGGAGGAGGCUACUGAGACUAAUACUCUUGGAUAGUGGACGUUACUCGCAGAAUAAGCACCGGCUAACUCUGUGCCAGCCGCCGCCGUAA